rnacentral:rRNA from 1 species
GUGCCAGCAGCCGCGGUAAUACGUAGGGUGCUAGCGUUGUUCGGAAUCAUUGGGCGUAAAGCGCGUGCAGGCUGUUAGUUAAGUCGGGUGUGAAAUCCCUGGGCUCAACCGAGGAAGUGCAUCCGAAACUAGCUAGCUAGAGAGUGGUAGAGGAAGGUGGAAUUCCAAGUGUAGAGGUGAAAUUCGUAGAUAUUUGGAGGAAUACCGGUGGCGAAGGCGGCCUUCUGGACCAUUUCUGACGCUGAGACGCGAAAGCGUGGGGAGCAAACAGGAUUAGAUACCCUAGUAGUCC